GAUGAAGAACGUAGCGAACUGCGAUAAGUAAUGUGAAUUGCAGAAUUCAGUGAAUCAUCGAGUCUUUGAACGCACAUUGCGCCCCCUGGCAUUCCGGGGGGCAUGCCUGUCCGAGCGUCAUUAAGUCCACUUAAGCCCUGCUUAGUGUUGGGAGACUGCUCCAGCGGUGCUACCCUGUAGCUACCCUGCAGCUCCUCAAAGACAGCGGCGGAGUUGUGGUAUCCUCUGAGCUUAGUAACUUGUUCUAGCUUUCGAGUACACCACUUCCCCUGCCGUAAAACCCUUAAUUUUUAAUGGUUGACCUCGGAUCAGGUAGGAAUACCCGCUGAACUUAAGCAUAUCAAUAAGCGGAGGA
rnacentral:misc_RNA from 1 species